UGUUAAUGUAGUCACUUUAAUACAUAUUAUGUGUCACUUUUAUGCAAUAUUAUCACAUUAAUCAUACUAUAUUUACUAUAAUGUUAAUAUAAGCUUGGUUAAUGUUAAUAUAAGUUUGAUUGUGGUGAUAUUUGUGAGUGAGAGGUAAAAUAGGAUUAACAUUGACUAUAUUAGCAUAAUACAUUACUUAAAAGUAUUAUAUUAAUACAGCACCUGUUCUCAUUGGGUCGAAGAAGUUGUCCGUAAGAAUAUCAAAGCCUGAAAAACUUAUCAACAUUACUCACACUUCUGUUGGCCUUAAUGGUAUCCAUCUUUCUUUCUCUUAGGUCACAUGAUCUAGUUCUUUGUUCUUAUUUAUGAUGUGGGUUAUUGCUUAUUUUGCUGGAAUUGGUUCUCAUGUAAAAAUCCCAUUUUGACUAUUUUUCCAAUGAUUUUUGCUUUGUCUGUGAAGCGAGUAACAGGGGAAGAUGGAAAACUUGAAUGGGAACUGAAGUGGAAACUGGAAAGGUUAACGUCCAGCGAAAGAGCAGCAUUAAGUGAGUUUCACAAUUCUCCAAGGCCUUCAGUUUUCGGUAUCCUUUAAUUCUUUGGCUGGUAUCUUUCUUUGUUUAUUUAUGUUUAGUCCAUUUCUCAUGUUUAUUUUUUUAGGUGUUUAUUAUGGUGCAUUUGAAUUUUGGGAUUUGGGUUUUGUUUAUUUAUGCAAUUAGACUGAAAUUGUGUUGAUGGGUAUUGUUGGAUUUCCGUUUAGAGGGGAAAAAAAUGGAAUUUAUUUGUGCACUUUGAUCCAAAAGUGGUCACUAUACUCAGAUAGUUGAAUCUGGUUCCCUGUUGGAUUUCUUGAUUAUCCAUGUUUAAUAUAGUGCAAUUAUGAUGUAUGAGAGGUUAAGGUGAAUGAAUAUUCUUUGUGCCCUAUCUCUCAAUCUCUCGUCCAUUGAAGCAUACUCUGAAUUCUUUUUUGAAAUGGCUUGUGACUUUGUGAGCUUUCUCUCCUCUAUUAAAGGAGCUUUUGAGGCGAAAUUUCUUUCUUAAUCAGCAAAUUAGUUUCAUAAUCUAGGGUUUAUUGUUGGUUAAUACCAAGAAUGAGGCAGGGAGAGGUCAUGUGAGUUUCUCGAGGAUUGUUUUUCCCCUCUCCUUAGAUGACCAUUGGUUAUGGUGGUUUGUCCAGACACUAUUAAAAUGGUCCUCAAACCAUCGGAUGCCAGAACCUUUGCUCCUUAGCUGCUUUAUCUGUCUCUGUGAGCUGUGACUGUAACUUUGCUGACUGCAUGCUCCUUGAUCUUCUAACGACAAAAUCACCAGCCGUUAAAAGAUGUGAUGAGUGUACACCAUUCAAAGCAGUCAAAUUUAAUCUGGGUUUGGAGAAUUUUUUGAGGUUUUGGGUAAUUUUUUCCAUUUGGCUUGGCAGAAAGAUCAACUUUUGUUUUCUUUUAUACAAAGUAUUAUUUUUAUUUUGUGAUUUGGUUCGGUUGGAAUUUGGAAAUUAUUUGGCCUAUUUUGAUUGAUUGCUGCCAUGGUUGAUUUUACCACCUCGAAAUUCUCCACCAGAUUGUUUGAUGAAAUGUGGAUCUAAGCCUAUUGUUAAAAAAAAAAAAAAAGGAAGUUGCAUUGUUGAAUUUUAGUCUAAUAUAUAUAGGAAUAAUUUCUACAUUUUUUUAAAUGUGUGUUCGUUUAGAAGGUUCCUGGAACUUGGCGUUGGCUGCUUGGAGUAUCAAGAGUCCCUGUUGUCUUGCAGUUUCUCUUUAUGCUUCUUUUUCCAGAAUCCCCCUGCUGGCUAUAUAUGAAGGGCGAAAGAGGAAGAAACCGAGAAGAAUAAAUGAAGGGUUGUGACUUGUGAGCAAGCUCAACUCCGUCGAUUCAAGGAGGAGACUAAACGUUGUGCUUUGAUUCAUAAGGGUUUCCGCAGUCCAAUUCUGGAAUUUCGGAUUUCGAGGGUGGAAUUUCCUACUCUGAGUUCUCCAUUGAAGCAAUUGAUUAGCGAAAAAAAUGGGUCAGAUCCAGUACUAUGAGAAACACUUUGAUGAUACUUUUGAUAUCAGAUUUGAGUUACAAGGAUGAUGGACAAGAAAUCAUCGAAAUUGCCAUCAGCAUCAGAAUGGUCACUCUUCUCCUUUUAAAUUGGCAAGUUGUUUGAUCCUGAUGUUUCUUGGGAUAAGGUUAACUUUCUUGUCUUUGAGAUUAUUUCUCCUUUUAAAUUUCUUUUAUCCUUAGAAAAAAUAUUAUUGAAUUCAUAUUGAUGCUCUACAACUGGGUUUGUUAGUUAAGUUUGAGAUCAAUAUGAUUGAUUUAGGAUUAUGUAGAAGAUUGUAGUCCAUCUUUAUUAGUGGGAUUAUUGAAGUUUUCGCCAAUUUUCCACAUUAAUGAGAUUUAUUGCAAGGUAUAAUUGAUUUUAACUGGUGAGGGAAUGACUUCAACUAGAGGGGGUGAACUAAUGUUAGGGUGAAAGGGCAAGAUAGAGGAUAACAUGUAGAGAGGAGGGAGAAAAUAUGUAGAGUACUUCAAAAGACCAUUAUAGUGUGAGGUAAAGAUAUGCACUUUCACCGGUCCAUAGGCUCCAUACUUAUGUUGGAAGCUUGGAAUGUCGAGUGUUACAUGGAUACUCAAGUAGGGGUGAAAGUUCGGUUUGCGGUUUGUAUUAUGGCCAAAACCGAAUCCAAUUCGAAUUAAUUCGGUUUUGGAUUUCUCUAACCGAAUCUAAACCAAAUUAAGAUUUGGUCCAAUCCAAACCGAACCUAACCAAAUUAAUUCGGUUUUUAUAAUUAGAUUCCAAUCCAAACCGAAAUUUGUUCCCUCCUUUUGCAACAUUCGAUCUCGAAACCCGAACUUCACCCAGAAAAUUCCUGCAAUUAUUUAACUUUUUCUCGUUGAGUACAUUUGUAUGACUCCAUUUCCCAUUUCCACCACCACUCAAUCUUUCAUCAACCUUCCUUUAUCUCUCAUCAAUGGCAAUUGAUCUGAUCACAACAUGUUUCUCUCUCCUAAAUUUGGGUUUCUUUUCAUUUUUGCUUGGUUUGAAAUCAACAAUUCGAUGUCUACAUGUAUUUUCUCUUUGGCUAUCUUUUGAUUAUUUCUUGGUUAAUAAUCUUUAAUUUCUGGGUUGGAUUUUUCUUAUUUUCUGGAAUUUUAAUUAGAUUAACGAAGAAAAUGUGUCAGAUCCAGUACUCUGAGAAGCACUUUGAUGAUACUUAUGAAUUCAGCCAUUGUUCCCCGGUGAGAAUGCAUUUGGAUCAACUUGCGGUGAUUAUCAAGGCCAGAAUCUAGCAUUCAUGUUGAAAUUGCCACAAACUCAAGUUAUGCAAUGAUUACAAAAUUAAUUGAUUAUGUCCAUAUAUUUUCAGGUUCUUGGUACUCCUACUAGAGAGGAAAUUCGAUGAUGAAUCCAAACUAUACUGAUUUUAGGUUUCCACAGAUUAAAGCUCACCCUUGGCACAAGGUUAUUCCUAAAUGAAUGCCUCCUGAAGCCAUCAAUCUUGCUUCAGGACACUUCAGUAUUCACCCAAUCUUUGUUGCACUGCACUUGCAGUUGGAGGCAUGUGUUCAUCCUUUUUUUGAUGAGCUUCUUGAUCCCAAUACUUGCCUUCCAAACGGUCGCCCACUGCCACCUCUUUUCAAUUUCAAGCAAGAAGUAAGAUGUAUAUACUAAGGAGGGUUUCAAUGGUAGCUAUCAGGGCCGCUUUGAAGCUCCAACAUGGCGGUGUCAAGGUCUAUUAGUGGGACCUUGACAAUGAAUGAAAGAAGCAUGGGAACUACGGGUAACUGACGAGGUGCAAGGUUGUGGAAUGACUUCUGAGGCAUUGAAGUAUGAAUGAUCUCUUAGGUUCUUACACUCCUUGAUUAUUCUAUGUAUUUGGAUGGCCGAUUGGAUGCGUUGGAAGGAACUCAUUAAAUCAUCUUUGCAGAAUUUGGUGCUGUCGCUCUCUAUGAUGUUCUUUAGAAAAGGGCAGGGAUUGGCAAGUAGUACAAGGAAAAAUAUAUUUUUGAAAGCCUUACAAAGAAGAGUGGGUUGAAGAAAGAAAGAAGGGGGGAAGUAACAAGAGGGGGAUGAAUGAAAGAUGGGAUAGUGGUAGAGACCAAUUUUAACACCUUUAGGAUACUUUUAACAUUCGCAAAGCCUGAAAAGACGAGUUUGAGGAUGAUGGAGGAAGAAGAGGGCGAGCAUAUAAGGUCACCGUUUUUAAAGUGUAGUCGAGGAAGAGAUAGGGAGCAUUUUUAGAGAGAGAGAGAGUGAAAGGGAGGGGAGUAAGUACAACCUAUAAUUUUCAAAGCCAUUUAAAGGAGGGAACAUGGAGAAGAAGGAUUUGGCAUUUUAUUGGGUAACAUGGUACAAAUCAAAGUUGGGUUGAGUAUAAUUCGUGUUGAGAUCAAUUAGAAUUUUCAGAAAUUAGUUUAGAUCGAUGAAGUCGAUUGGAACAACCAAAUUUACUUUAAAUUGCUAAAGAUUAGUUAUGAUCAAUUGAAUUUAGUUUUACAGUUUGGUACGAAUCAGAGUUGGCUUGAGUAAAAGUAUGUAGAAGAGAACAAGACCUAUUGUGUGAAGCUGAUGCUGCCCCGUUGCUUCUGUUUUGAUUUAAUUCUGCAUAUUAUGCAUGCCCCAUCAAGUCAGCCAACUUCAUUUUAAUAAUCACGUUAACAACAGUAACCUGUUAGGGUUACCUUUGGGCUCUUGUAAUUUGUCCUUGUUAGUUUGGUCUAGGGCGGUGUUGUGGGUUGGUGUUUUGGGUAAACAGCCGCAUAAGAACAGGGAUUCAGUGGGCUAAAUGUAAGAUCUUUGAGAAGUCUCAAACAAAUAAUUAUGAAACUACCCAUUUUGCUUUUAAAUUUGCGAUUUAUACUGGUUGGAUUAUAAAUGCACUCUUUUUACCAAAAAAAAAAAAAAAAAAAAACUUCAUACUCUUUGUGAUGCUGAAAUUGGCCUUAUUGUCUUUUCGUCUACUGGGAAGCUCUUUGAAUAAUCCAAUUCAAGGUCCCUCUUUCUUUCUGUCUUCUUAUUUAAACAUUAUUCUUGGUUUUUUUGCUCCUUUAGGUCUUGAUCUUAUGAAUAGUGACUAAGAUUGAGUGAUUACCUUGUGAUUUUUUAUACUAUAUCUUAGAAUUAAGUAUUUUGAAGUUAUUUUUCUGAUAGAUCCAAUCUUUGGUUAGUAAAUUUGUUGGUGUUUGCUAAUUGAUUUCAGAGAUCUUGCUUGCUACACCUGCAAUUAGGCCUAAAAAAAUAUAGCUUAUGAAACAGUUGUGUCUGAACCACCAAGAUAAUAAUCAUAAAUUAUUAGAGGGGGGAAGCUUUUUCAGCUUAUUGAUAUUCUUCUGAGAAGUUAAAUUGGCGGAUAUGAUCAACAUGGAGCAGUGUAUGUAUUUGUUUAAUAAUUAGAAGAGUUGACCUUUAAAGUGGUUGUUAGCUCUUUGUUUACCUUUCCAGUGUGAUUCCUUUUACCGGUCCUUGGAUUUGCUCUUGAUUUGCAUUUGCUUGCCAUGUUAUUCAAAAUUCCUGUAGCUGCAUUUGCUGUCAGUUUAGCUUGCAAAUGUUUGUUGAAGCCGAAUGUUCAACUAAUGCCUGUAUGUUAGCUGAUUGAAAUUAUAUAUACCUGCAUGACCUAUGAAGAUUAAUUGAUAAAUUCUAUAUUAAUUAUGGGCUAAAUAUCUGUGCAAUUUUGAGGUCAUUAAGGAACUUCAAUGAUGUUAACAUCGAUUCGUUGUGGAAGUUGAUUUUCCGCUCUGUACAUCUUCAUUCUGUAGUACUUUUAUUUCAGUUUUAAUAUAAAGAUACCAUGUCAUGUUACAUUGAUAUGCUUUCCUUGUGAUACUUUCAUCAAGUGGGAUUGUGGGUUUUCGGAGGAGCUUUGCAAAUUGAUGCAGUCACUGCUGCAAUUCUUGGAUUAUGUUUGCAGCUCAUUACUGGUGUUGUCACCUAGAAAGAAUGCUUAUUUGAGUCAGUUGCUUGGGAUACCCUUACAUAGUUUGCUGCACUUAUUGCCAUGGCUGGUUAUCUCAACAAGUAUGGGCUCAUUUCCUGGUUCAGGGAAACCAUGGUCAAGGUCUGUGUUCUUUCCUCUUCCCCUGAAUAUUUUUCCUCUUUUUCCUUUUGAUGGUAAAAAAUAUGUAAGUAAUAACCAUCCUUAAUUAGCAGAAUUUAAAGUGUCUACAUUCCUAGUAAGUUCAUCAUUAUUUACCAACUGGAUUUUGUGAUAUGUAUUGCACAUGAGUUUGGAAUCAUUGUCUUUAACUUUACUAAGUUCAGAAAAAUAUAUGCUUGGUAAGUUAAUCAUUCUUUAUAUGAUUCUGCCAAUCCUUUUACUAAGUUCAGCAAAAUAUAUGUUGAUUAGCAUUAACUUAACUAAGCCAUUUGGAAAUGACAUUUGUCUGCAAUAUGUUUUUACAACUGACUGCCUUCCUUUAAGCCCGUUUUUGUUUCCUUUCUGUUUGGGAAGUUACUAGGAAUGGAUUCAAUUGGAGGAGAGGCGGUAGCAGUAGGUCCUGGAUUAACUAGUAGAAAGGUGGGUGAUCUUGUUGCUUAUGCUGGUAGCCCGAUGGGUUCUAUGCAGAGGAGCAAAUCUAAAUCUGGACUCAGUAUUUAUGUCAGAAAAUUAAAGCUAAUUUAAACAGAUAUUUUGAAUUAAUUUUAACUGUUAUAAUUAGUUCCUGAAUUUCCCUGAUGCAAUUUGAGUAUGUUGGUUUUGCUCAAUUCUCAUCUCUCUUCCUUUUUUUUUUCCUGUUUGGAUUUGUAAGUGCAGCGGAGCAGAUUGAAUAUCUUUGGCUCUUAGUUUACCACUUAGAAUCAAUGAUCUCGCUUCAACUUUAGAUCAUCACUUGUGUCUUUUUUUCUUUCUUCUUUUUUUUUUUUUUUUUUUUUUUUUUUUUUUUUUUUUUUUUUUUUUUGUGCCUGAAGUCAAUUAGUAUCAUAAUUUUCUUCAUACACAUAGUGAUUUCAUUUCUGCCAUUCUCCCUGUUUCAGAUGUGCAUAUCCAGAGCUCAGCCAUAUAUUGGUAUGUAAUAUCAAAAUUUUCUGUCAGUAAUACUUGUAUUCUUUUACCUAUAAAUUUUGGCCAACUUGGGGGACCACAUGUAUACUCUUAGGCUGAAGCCAAUGUUCUUAGAUGAUGUGCGGAUAGCCGGUUCCAAUUAUAUUUGUUGCAGACUGAAAUGCUAUAAAAAUUGUCAGAACGUUUAAAGAUCGGCAUGUAAAACUCAAAAGUAAAUUUGAAACCAUAAAAAAAAAAAAAAAAAAAAAAAAAAAGUGAUUGGCAAUGAAGACUAAUUAAGGGUGAGGGAGCCAGUAAUAUAAGACUUAUUAUUAAUUUUAAAAUCCAUAAAACAAGUGUGAGUUGGAGUGAAGAAUAAGUAUCCAAAGGAGGGAAGGAAGAGGAUGAGGGACAGAUUGUUUAUUUAAUUUGCUAUAAAUUGUACAUUUGUAAUGUAUAAGUGAAGAAAGACAUAGCAAGGGGGAGGAAGAAAGAAGGUGAGGUUGAAGAUGAGAAAGAAAGAGAGAUACAAGACAAAAAUGAGAAAGAAUCAAGAACUUUUAAAAGACGGUUUUCAAAAUGUAUUUUGUUUAAUAAUAAGACAUAAAUAUAAUAAGUUAGGAAUAGACUUUAAAUUUCACAUAAAUAUAUGGAAAAUGGAAGGGUAGGAGAAGGAGGAAGUAGCAGAUGGGACUACGGUUACUAUAUUUUAUAACCAGAUUAAAAGAGGAAUCUGGAACAAGAGUAAGAAGUUGGAAGAUGAGAUGAUAAAGAAAAAGACAGGAUGAAGCCAAAGAAGAGGGAGCAAAGAUACAGCAUUUCUAAAAGACUAUUAUAGAUUAUAAUUGUCUAAUACUACUACUACAACAAAGUCUCGGUUGACGGUUGGUAUUUUCUUUAUCCAAAAAAUACUCAAAGAAUGAAACCACAUAUUCGAAAAUCAAACAAUAAGCCAAAAUAAAGGGGCAAACAAACAGUCCCAGGAAAAAAAAUACCUAACAAUAAGUAAAUGCUAUGAUCUUGAUUCUUUUUAUAGCUUCUUUAUGUGUAUUUUUGGAAAAUGGCAAUGAACCUAAAAACUCUUUUUUAUAAUCCUUUUGGAAAUUAGGUUUUAUCUUAACUUUCAAAUAAACCUUUUGGGAGUUGAGUAAUAUUCCAUAUCCACUCUUUCCAAGCUGUCCAAGCAUAUCCUUUUGGAAAUUAGUUGUUUCAAUUACUUGUUGACAAGUCGUGUAAAUUGAGUAAUGUAAACUAUUUAUCUAUCCAAUCAGAACUUAUAUUUACUCCAGUAGAAAGUGCAAAGGACAAAGGGCAAAGAUCAAGUCCAAGAUCAGUAAAAGAUUACAACAGAACGAAUGAAGGAAGUAUAAGUAUUGCUUGACAACGGAAAUGUUUUCUUGAAAUGCGGAAGCAAAUAGUUCUUCAGAAGGCUAAUACUUUUCUUUAUCUUAAAAUCAGAAAAUUUGUAUUAACUUUGAAUUCUACUUGUAAAGGCCCUCUUAGUUACAUUAAAUGUAACAAGCAAGAUAAAUCUUACAGGCAUAGGUUGGGUUCAAUUUUAUAAAUUUUGGGUCGGGUUAAUUUUGGCUUAAACUUAUGUCGAGUCAGGUUUUGAGCAGGUGUAUGACGGGUUGGGUUCGGGUUAUUUUUGGGUUAUAUUUGAUUAAUAUCAGGUUAGAUAAAGUUGGACCUAAAUAAUUACGCUUUUCAUAAUAUGGCCAAACAUCAUUAAGAAUACCUUCUACCUGUAAACUUAUACUCUGUAUGAAUUUAUUCUCUUGCCUUCUACCUUCA